UCUCCCGCCUCUCAGCUGAUCGGCGGGUGGGCGGGGCUUCCACGGAGGCCUGGUGUAGGCCUCUGUGAAGCCUGAACUGCAGUAGGGCCCGAGCCAGCCAGGAAGGAGGAGGCAGCCAGACUGGCCACCACUGUUCUCUGCAGCAGAAGACCCCUGCGGAACCCAGCAUUUGCCAGUGGAGUCUUCCUGGGUCUUCUUCCAUUGAGCCCACUGUCACUCAAAAAGUGAUGGAUGGAGUGAUCAGACACUGAUGGACCUUGACCUUGGAGUUCAGCUUGUAUCUCUUUGGAAGUUGUCCUUGGCUUUUUGUCUACCAUUCUCACCAUCCUUCUGCCCAUUCUGGGGUCGAUUUUCCUCUUGUGGCCGCAUCCAGGAAGACAACUGUCUCCUUUGCUUUCUCUGGUCCAUGUUCAUUGUGGGACACAUGAAGAUACCAAACAGCAGAGCGACUACUUUUCUCCAUUUAAAUAGGCUGAAUGACUGAUUGCACGAUUGGAGACAUGUGUGAUACUAAUUAAAGAAAACAGCUAAUUUGAAAAAUCACUCUAAUCGAAAUAUUUAUGA